rnacentral:tRNA from 1 species
UCCCCGAUAGCUCAGUCGGUAGAGCAGCUGGCUGUUAACCAGCUUGUCCCUGGUUCGAGUCCGGGUCGGGGAGCCA